AACGCGAAGAACCUUACCUGGGCUCGAAGCGCAGUGGACCGGGGUAGAAAUAUCCCUUUCCGCAAGGACCGCUGCGGAGGUGCUGCAUGGCUGUCGUCAGCUCGUGUCGUGAGAUGUUGGGUUAAGUCCCGCAACGAGCGCAACCCUCAUCGUUUUGUUGCCAGCGGGUCAAGCCGGGCACUCGAACGAAACCGCCUCGGAUAACGGGGAGGAAGGUGGGGAUGACGUCAAGUCCUCAUGGCCUUUAUGUCCAGGGCUACACACGUGCUACAAUGGUCGGUACAAACCGUCGCAAACCCGCGAGGGGGAGCUAAUCGGAAAAAACUCUGCUCAGUUCGGAUUGCAGUCUGCAACUCGACUGCAUGAAGCCGGAAUCGCUAGUAAUGGCGUAUCAGAUCUGACGCCGUGAAUACGUUCCCGGGUCUUGUACACACGC
rnacentral:rRNA from 1 species